rnacentral:rRNA from 1 species
GACGAAGGAUGCAAGCGUUAUCCGGAUUCAUUGGGCUUAAAGGGAGCGUAGGUGGCCUGCUAAGUCAGCGGUGAAAUCUCUGGGCUUAACCCAGAAAUUGCCAUUGAUACUGGUGGGCUUGAGUGCAGUUGCUGUUGGCGGAAUAUGACAUGUAGUGGUGAAAUACAUAGAGAUGUCAUAGAACACCGAUUGCGAAGGCAGCUAACAAAACUGUAACUGACACUGAGGCUCGAAAGUGUGGGGAUCAAACAGG